rnacentral:pre_miRNA from 1 species
AGCCUUUUGAAUCCGUGUAAAGAUUUCGUUAUGCAACAACCCAUUAGGGCUGAUCACACUUCUAAGAUAAGUGAAGUU